rnacentral:rRNA from 1 species
GACGAACGCUGGCGGCGUGCCUAAUACAUGCAAGUCGAACGCUUCUUUCCUCCCGAGUGCUUGCACUCAAUUGGAAAGAGGAGUGGCGGACGGGUGAGUAACACGUGGGUAACCUACCCAUCAGAGGGGGAUAACACUUGGAAACAGGUGCUAAUACCGCAUAACAGUUUAUGCCGCAUGGCAUAGGAGUGAAAGGCGCUUUCGGGUGUCGCUGAUGGCUGGACCCGCGGUGCAUUAGCUAGUUGGUGAGGUAACGGCUCACCAAGGCCACGAUGCAUAGCCGACCUGAGAGGGUGAUCGGCCACACUGGGACUGAGACACGGCCCAGACUCCUACGGGAGGCAGCAGUAGGGAAUCUUCGGCAAUGGACGAAAGUCUGACCGAGCAACGCCGCGUGAGUGAAGAAGGUGUUCGGAUCGUAAAACUCUGUUGUUAGAGAAGAACAAGGACGUUAGUAACUGAACGUCCCCUGACGGUAUCUAACCAGAAAGCCACGGCUAACUACGUG